rnacentral:tRNA from 1 species
GGGGAUAUAGCUCAGUGGCACAGCACCUGCCUGGCAAGCCCGAGAUCCUGAGUUCAAUUCCUGGUACCCACA